AAGUCGUAACAAGGUAUCCGUAGGUGAACCUGCGGAUGGAUCAUUACCAAAGGAUUUACAUCCCAAGGUCUUGUGAACUGUAUUGAACACCACGGUCAGAGGUUUCUUCGGAGACUUGUGGCUGUACACUAAACCUUAUACCCUUAACUUACAUCAAAACAUAAACUAUACAACUUUUAGCAAUGGAUCUCUUGGCUCUC
rnacentral:misc_RNA from 1 species